rnacentral:rRNA from 1 species
CCCUUAGAUGUUCUGGGCCGCACGCGCGCUACACUGACGAUGGCAACGAGUUUUUCCUUCGCCGAAAGGUGUGGGUAAUCUUUUGAAACAUCGUCGUGCUGGGGAUAGAUCAUUGCAAUUUUUGAUCUUGAACGAGGAAUUCCUAGUAAGCGCGAGUCAUCAGCUCGCGUUGAUUACGUCCCUGCCCUUUGUACACACCGCCCGUCGCUACUACCGAUUGAAUGGUUUAGUGAGGACUCCUGAUUGGCGCCGCCGCCCCGGCAACGGAGCGGCGGACUGCCGAAAAGUUGUUCAAACUUGAUCAUUUAGAGGAAGUAAAAGUCGUAACA